CUUAACGUAGAGGCCCUUGUAGCCAAUACAACCCUAUGCGCAGGGGUGUCUCAACUAAACCCCUAUAGUCCAUGUUUUGCUUCAAGUAAGCCCCUCCGUCUAACGGAUACUUAACUCCGUCCGUCUUUUAUUUUUUUUUGAUUUUUUUUUUCUGUGGGGCCCACCAUUAAUAGUUGGCGCGGUUUAGUUAGAGAAUAUGAAUCGUCUCCCUCUUCACUUGCUGCAAAAUCCGAAGGGAAGAAGAAGAAGAAGGUUUCAGAGGGAUUUCAACCUGUUCCAGACGAAUAGGAUCUCCUCCAUAGCUACUUUCACGGAUCGUACAUCGACGAAGGUAAGUGUUUAGCGUAGCCUUAAUUCGAGGCUAAAAUUGAACUUAUCGCAGCAUGCAAAUUUUUGAAAAAAUCGAA
rnacentral:lncRNA from 1 species